GCGAUGGAUACCGAAGCUGCACCGAGUUAAAACACCACGGAGUAUCCUGCCCGCUGCGUUUUCAACAACAACAGCGGCGUUUUCAGGAACAGACAUCCGAGAAAACUUAACGGAGAAGCGAAAGUUCCCUGCGGGCGGGAGUCACACGCGGCACACGGAGCCUGACGGUGUUAACAGCUGGUGAACAGUGGUGAAGUUCGGUGCAGGUUGGAGCCUCUGCUGUUUGUUUUGGCACAGGGACUGAGGCAGGAUGAUAAGUGCAGUGCGACCUGAGUUUUCUCUGUGGCCCCACCUGGUGGUACAACAACCUCCUGUAAAAAGCAGGGCCUCAGGCGUCCACCAAGCACCACACAUGACGAGCAGACGAUCUGUGCCAGUUUGAACAAGAGGAUUAAACACUGGUAACUCUUUCAGUGUACAUACGGGUGUGUUAGUAUUGUUUUGGGAGCUCUAAAAGUCAUUGUCACAUGUUAGUAUCCUGUUGAGACUAUCAGCUGAUGAUGAGGUUAUCAGCUGGCUCUGUAACAAAACCGAAAUUCACAUGACAUGAUUUCACCAUUUUGAUCAAUGUUUCCUGAACAGAUACAAAAAGUUUAAAAGCUUUAUAAUGUCAUAAAGUUGCAUGACUCUCCUCAGGUAAUGUCAAAGGGUGUUUAACAUUACAGGUGCAGAAAAAACAAAUGGGAGCAACAUAGUGAGAAUCUAAACAAGUGCUUUCAUUUUUAUUUGCAGUUUCACUGUUCAAUCACAGAUAAUCUAUUUCUCUUACACCCAGCAAGAAGAAAACACAACUGAAGAAAUGCCCACAUUCAUACUGUAUUUAAAAA